UUCAGAGACUGUACGAUCUACUUGUUAUGCAUGUCAAGAAUUAUUUUACAAAAAUAGUAAAGAAAUAAAUUUGACGAAUUGUUGUAAGAACACUGUAUGUGAUAAUUGUUUUCAUAAAAAAUAUUCUCAGUAUAUCGUAAGAAUUCAAAAACAGUGUCCAUGUUAUAAGGAGUGUAGUAGUAGUGAUGCCGUAAAUAUUAACGAAAAUUCUAAAAAUAUCGUUGACAACAACGUUAGCAAAGACACUAUAAAAUGUUUAGACAAAGAAUGUCGAAUUUGCUUUGGGCAUUCAAAAAAUUGAAAAUACAGUAUUUCUCUAUUUGUCCACGUAUUAUUUGUAAAGAUUGCUCCAAAAUAAUGAAAAAUACCAAUAAUAUCAACACCCAUUUGUAAGACAUAAUGUUACAUAAAGAAAAAAAUGGAUACAAUGCUUUUCUGAAGAUGCGUUGACAUAUUUUGUAAUGACUCUGUAUAAUAUCGUUAUCUAAACAUAAUUUUGAAAUUUAUUAGGCAAAUUUUAAUUAAAAAAUAUGUAUUAAUAUCUCAAUUUUCUGUCAAUUAUAAUUUUAAUUGUCUUAUUAAUAAUAGUAAUUUGUAUUCUCAGUUUUAUUUUACUUCCUCAUUAUUUUGAAAGAGAAAUCAUCUUCCCAUAAAACUACAAUAAUUACACAAGAUGAAUAUAUUAAUACAGAAAAUAAAAGUAAAAGAAUUAUUACAAGACACUCCUGAAGUACAAUAAUAGUUAUAUAAGUUGUAAAUAGUUCGUAUUCUUAAAAAAAUAAACAGAAAACCAUAAUAAAAAUAUGUAAAAAUUUUGUACCUCAAAAUAUAAAAAAAAAAUAUUGUUAAUUUAGAAUUAGCUUUAAUUAAUUCUU